rnacentral:rRNA from 1 species
UACGAAGGGGGCUAGCGUUGCUCGGAAUCACUGGGCGUAAAGGGUGCGUAGGCGGGUCUUAAGUCAGGGGUGAAAUCCUGGAGCUCAACUCCAGAACUGCCUUUGAUACUGGCGAUCUUGAGUCCGGGAGAGGUGAGUGGAACUGCGAGUGUAGAGGUGAAAUUCGUAGAUAUUCGCAAGAACACCAGUGGCGAAGGCGGCUCACUGGCCCGGUACUGACGCUGAGGUGCGAAAGCGUGGGGAGCAACAGGG